GUGGGGAAUAUUGGGCAAUGGGCGAAAGCCUGACCCAGCAACGCCGCGUGAGGGAAGAAGGCCUUCGGGUUGUAAACCUCUGUCCUUGGUGACGAAACAAAUGACGGUAGCCAAGGAGGAAGCCCCGGCUAACUACGUGCCAGCAGCCGCGGUAAUACGUAGGGGGCGAGCGUUGUCCGGAAUUACUGGGCGUAAAGGGUGCGUAGGUGGCCUUUUAAGUUGGAUGUGAAAUACCCGGGCUUAACUUGGGGGGUGCAUCUAAUACUGGAGGGCUAGAGUGCAGGAGAGGGAAGCGGAAUUCCUAGUGUAGCGGUGAAAUGCGUAGAUAUUAGGAGGAACACCAGUGGCGAAGGCGGCUUUCUGGACUGUAACUGACACUGAGGCACGAAAGCGUGGGGAGCAAACAGGAUUAGAAACCCCAGUAGUCC
rnacentral:rRNA from 1 species